AUUCCAGCUCCAAUAGCGUAUAUUAAUGUUGUUGCAGUUAAAAAGCUCGUAGUUGGAUUUCUGGUCGGAACGCCGGUCCGGCUCCGCAAGGGGUCGUGUAUUGGUUUCUCCUGCCAUCCUCAGGGGGAGCUGCGCUGGUAUUCAUUUAUCGGCGUGGUUACGCCUGUCGUUUACUGUGAACAAAUUAGAGUGUUCAAAGCAAGGUGUACUUGAAUACAUUAGCAUGGAAUAAUAAGAUAGGACUUUGGUGGUUCUUUUUAGAUAUUUUGUUGGUUUGCACGCCAAAGUAAUGAUUAAUAGGAGCAGUUGGGGGUAUUCGUAUUCAAUUGUCAGAGGUGAAAUUCUUGGAUUUAUAGAAGACGAACUACUGCGAAAGCAUUUACCAAGGAUGUUUUCAUCA
rnacentral:rRNA from 1 species